AGUGAACGCUGGCGGUAGGCCUAACACAUGCAAGUCGAACGGCAGCACAGGAGAGCUUGCUCUCUGGGUGGCGAGUGGCGGACGGGUGAGGAAUGCAUCGGAAUCUACUUUUUCGUGGGGGAUAACGUAGGGAAACUUACGCUAAUACCGCAUACGACCUACGGGUGAAAGCAGGGGACCUUCGGGCCUUGCGCGAUUGAAUGAGCCGAUGUCGGAUUGGCUAGUUGGCGGGGUAAAGGCCCACCAAGGGGACGAUCCGUAGCUGGUCUGGGUGGAUGAUCAGCCACAAUGGAACUGAGACACGGUCCAGAUUCCUACGGGAGGCAGCAGUGGGGAAUAUUGGACAAUGGGCGCAAGCCUGAUCCAGCCAUACCGCGUGAGUGAAGAAGGCCUUCGGGUUGUAAAGCCCUUUUGUUGGGAAAGAAAUCCAGCUGGCUAAUACCCGGUUGGGAUGACGGUACCCAAAGAAUAAGCACCGGCUAACUUCGUGCCAGCCGCCGCCGUAA
rnacentral:rRNA from 1 species